rnacentral:lncRNA from 1 species
AAAAGAGAAGAUGAUGAGGAAGAAGAAGGUAGCAUUGUUAACGGCUCCACUACUGAAGACGAAGAGCAAACCAGAUCAGGAGCCCCAUGGUUCAAAAAGCCACUAAGAAAUACCUCAGUUGUAGACAGUGAGCCAGUGAGAUUCACUGUGAAAGUGACAGGAGAACCCAAGCCAGAAGUUACGUGGUGGUUUGAAGGAGAACUACUGCAGGAUGGAGAAGACUAUCAGUACAUCGAAAGAGGAGAAACUUACUGCCUGUAUUUACCAGAAACUUUCCCCGAAGAUGGAGGAGAAUAUAUGUGUAAAGCAGUCAACAGUAAAGGCUCAGCAGCGAGUACCUGUAUUCUUACCAUUGAAAGUAAGAACUAAAUGGCUUUUGAUCCUUUGUUUUAUUAUGAAAUAAAUAGGAAAAAAUUAUCAUUCUUCUUCUUCUUCUUUUUUUAGUGGAUGACUACUAGGCUUCCUUCUUUACUUGGAUCUCACUCUCUCCAACUCUCUUGAUACAUCUCUGAGGAGGGGCCAAAAAGGAGACCAGAGGCGCCACUCUGUUGACUUAAUCUUUUCCCACAUCUUCCAAAUAGCUCAUCUAAAGAACACCAUUUCCAAUGCCUAUCAGUUUUAUUACCAUGCUGUGCAAAGUCAAAAUGCAGCUGACAGAAAAGGGAAAUAAAUGUACACAUUCUGCCAUAACCUAAAACAAAAGCUUUAUAUUUUCCCUAUUUAUAGCAUAGUUUGCAUGAAUAGAUUUUAUAACUAGCCACUGAUUGACAAUUAAAGUGGAAUGAUUAGUAGAUUUGAAAAAUGCGAUUUUGAUUUAAAUUUCUAGCUUUAAAAAUAAGUUUGUAAAUGUCAAGUGUUGUGUUGCAGGCCUUAAUCCCAGCACACAGGAGGCAGCAAGGUCUACAGGGCAGCCAGAAUUACAUAGUUGAGACCCUGUUACCCUGGUUCCUAUAACAACACAUGUCUGUAAAUAAAAGCCUAUUAUGUUCUAAUAUUGGGUGGUUUUAUAUUUAAUUUUCUGGAAAACGUGUUGUGAAACCAUAAUAAAGUUACCUGUGCAUU